GACGUAGGGGGCCAGCGUUGUUCGGAAUUACUGGGUGUAAAGGGUUCGUAGGCGGUGUGGCAAGUCGGGAGUGAAAUUUCUGGGCUCAACUCAGAGACUGCUUCCGAAACUGCUGUGCUUGAGUGUGGGAGAGGCGCGUGGAAUUGCAGGUGUAGCGGUGAAAUGCGUAGAUAUCUGCAGGAACACCCGUGGCGAAAGCGGCGCGCUGGACCACUACUGACGCUGAGGAACGAAAGCUAGGGGAGCAAACAGG
rnacentral:rRNA from 1 species